UUUAUUGCAUAUAACCGGCCCUUUUUUCCCCCUGUUUGCUUUUUUCAAACAAUGGCAGGCCUUUUUGAUUAAUACGUUUUGCUGGUAAUGCUCAAGCUUUGAAGAUGGUAACAUGGAUGACUGACUACUUCUAGAACCAUGUGCACAAUGUGAUAGCAAAGCACAAUAUUGAAAGGCACUGACGAUCGUCGAAUGAGGAAACUGGUGGCAUGGAUGAUGUUCUUAAAAGAUUAUAUGCAAUAACGAAGGAGUUAAUUCGAAUCUGCAACUCUGCAACAAAUUUGACACCUGCUUUUACUCUAAGUAUAUUUGGUAUGAUAAUGCCCUACAUAGCCGUAUUUUGUGCAUUGAACAAACUAUUAUCCUUUUUCAAGGUUAAGAUGUACUUGAGUUUGGCAAAUGCAACUCUAUGGAGAAUAGUGCAUCAACAAUUGUUGGAUUUGGUUUGGAAGAUCUUUUUUCUGUGGGUUUGUUUUUUUAAUGGUGGUGGUAUUCAUUUUUUUGCUUUUCAUUAUAAUGGUUUUCUUAUUUGUAAAAAAUAGGUGAUACUUCUAAAGAAUCAAAACUUUGAUAGUCAAUUAUUGUAACUGUGUGUAGGGUGAUUCCAAGCAUUUAUUGUUAGCUCAUCUUUUUGAUAAACCCUGCUCUCUAGGAUUGCCUGCAAUAAAGGCUGAUGAUGUUUCUUAUUUUCAUGCCAAUACUCAUAUACCAAUUGUUAUUGGAUCUCAAAUGCAUUAUGAAGUUACUGGUGAUUCACUUUAUAAGGAAAUAGGGACCUCCUUCAUGGAUGUUGUUAAUUCUUCCCACAGCAAUGCAACAGGGGGCACAUCAGUCGGCGAAUUUUGGUAUGAUGUUUGAACCUAUAAUCGUAGAUCUUACCUAAGAGUAAGCUCUUUUCCCCUAAUAUUAGACUGCCAUCAUCGGAGAGAAUAUACAUGUAACCACUGAAAUGUAUGCUUGCCCACCUAAUUGGUGGUUCCCCUUAAUGCCCUUUUUGAUCCUAUGGUGUAGUACUUUUCUCCCUCAUGCUAUGUGCAAGUCAGACCCAAAGUGACUAGCAAGCACUCUAGCAACUGAAAAUGAAGAGUCUUGUACAACUUAUAACAUGCUAUUGGUAUGUCGAUGACUAUUUAGAAAGUUGGGGCUGAUUGGGCUAGUAGUGGAAAAUAGAUUUUAGUUUGUGUGACUCGCUACAUUAUAUUACAAUAAUGUGCCAAAUGUGGGGAACGCUUACUUCCAGAUGUAGAUAUCACGAUGACUUGGUUUGGUAUGGUUAGGUGACAAGAGAGGUGGUGGCGAGAAGGGUCAAGGUUUUUACGUAGUUGGAAAACCCCUUGGAAUAUUUGGGUUGGUAUCUUAGCAAGGCCAUAUUUAUGACCAUGAAACAAAUCCUGCUUGGUUUGAUUUUUUUUUGGAAGUGCUAAAAUCCUACUUAGUAUGGUAUUUUUGGAAGUGUGUUAACCUUCCACAAGGAGAGUCAGAACCUCCCCUAUCUCGUUCAAUGGGAGAUACCGGAAUCUGGGAUAGGCAAUCUUUGCUUCAACGCAUGAUCGUUGACUCCUGAAAGACCUCACUGAUAUAAGAAAAUUGUUCCAAAGACCCGAAGUAAAAUUAGGAACAUUGCCCUUUAUCAUGACCAAAUGUGACCUAAUCCUUUUAGAACGUGCUUGGAUUUAACUCAUAAAUAAAUCUUCAAUUCCUCUCUCUCUCUCUCUCUCUCUCUCU